GACGAACGCUGGCGGCGUGCUUAACACAUGCAAGUCGCGCGAUGAAGUUUCUUCGGAAAUGGAUUAGCGGCGAACGGGUGAGGAACACGUGAAGAAUCUGCCCUCCACUUUGGGAUAACACAGGGAAACCUGUGCUAAUACCGAAUAUUGAAACAUAAGUGGCAUCACUGAGUUUUGAAAGAACUUCGGUGGAGGAUGACUUCGCGGCCUAUCAGCUAGUUGGUGAGGUAAUGGCCCACCAAGGCAACGACGGGUAGCCGGCCUGAGAGGGCGACCGGCCACACUGGGACUGAGACACGGCCCGGAGUCCUACAGGAGGCAGCAGUGGGGAAUAUUGGGCAAUGGAGGAAACUCUGACCCAGCGACGCCGCGUGCGGGAUGAAGGCCUUCGGGUUGUAAACCGCUUUCAGUAGGGAAGAAGCGAAAGUGACGGUACCUACAAAAGAAGCACCGGCUAACUAUGUGCCAGCCGCCGCAGUAA
rnacentral:rRNA from 1 species